GAGACAAAAGUUGUGCAUGCAGGACUUUUGUCUCGGCUUCAAAAAUCUUCCUCUGAGCAGAAACCUAACUGACCCCAUUAUAUUCUGUGGGGUCCAUAGGCUCUGUUUGGCUUAGUUAUUCGCUGAGCAAGUUCUUCUGUUCCUAGAACAGAAGAAUGGGAAGGCAGAAUGCUGAUGUGAACUCAGCCCAAGAGAGGGAAAAAAUAAAAAAAUAUCUUGUUCUGAGCACCACUUGUGAUCAAAGGUAAUCUUUCUAAUCUGAUACUCUUGUAAAUAAGUGAGGUCGAUUUUUCCUUCAUCAUGAAGUCGGAUGUGAAUGGCCACAAGUAUGUGCAGAUUACUACGUUCACAUUUGUCUCAGGACCAUGACAGAAGGCUGUUUGGGUUUAAUUCUACUUUUGGGAAUGGGGUCAUUUUCUACUCCUAAGUUGUCAAGCCACAGGACUGGUGGGGGUUCUAGCACUGGGGAUCCCUGUUCUGUGUGACUGGAGAGUCCUUUAGAGGUAAAUUGAGUGGUGGACAUGCUGCUCCAUUUACACAGGUAACAUAGGACUCCCACCCUGUGUUAUAGGACAGGGGAUGUGCUUGUUGGAGCGACAUGUUAUAGAUUGGCUUGCUACAUCAAGGAGGUCUUAGGCUCAUGUGAAAAGGAAGCAUCGAGGGGCAACUUUCAUGCAGAUCUACUGUAGCUACCUGGAUUGAUGUGGCAUGGUAGUUGGUCAGAGGUGUGACAUCCCCAGUAUUGAACAGGGCAGAAUUCCUUAAGAGCAAUCUUAGUACCAUAGCAAACAGUAAGUGUCUAUGGCUAGCUUGAUGUAGUCAAGACUUCAUGUCUUAAUUCUGUUCCAUAAACCAUGCCUGACAUUGUAAAUGUUCUUUCAGCCUUGAAUAUUUGGAAAACCUUUUUUCUAGUUCUUUAUACAUCUAAGAGUAGAAUAACCUACAAAUUUAUAUUUACUAGAACUACUCAAAGAUCUUUCUAUAUUGUAAAAAGCAAAGUAAACCACAGAAAAUAAACAUUUAUAUAUUAUUCUGUAAUUGUGUGGUUGCCAUAUACUGACCAGUGUGUUUGUUUAAGAUGGCCCCACCUCUAAACAUUUUGGUUAUUUUUGGGACCAAGGAACUCUAGCUUAAAGAGCUGCAAAAUUUUACAAAGUGAGAUCUCAUCCACAUGCUGUG